rnacentral:rRNA from 1 species
UACGUAGGGUGCGAGCGUUGUCCGGAAUUACUGGGCGUAAAGAGCUCGUAGGUGGUUUGUCGCGUUGUUCGUGAAAACCGGGGGCUUAACCCGCGGCGUGCGGGCGAUACGGGCAGACUUGAGUACUGCAGGGAGACUGGAAGUUCCUGGUGUAGCGGUGGAAUGCGCAGGAUAUCUGGAGGAAUACCGGUGGCGAAGGCGGCGAGAUCCU